AUUGAACGCUGGCGGCAUGCCUUACACAUGCAAGUCGAACGGUAACAGGCUUUCGGAUGCUGACGAGUGGCGAACGGGUGAGUAAUACAUCGGAACGUGCCCAGACGCGGGGGGUAACGAGGCGAAAGCUUUGCUAAUACCGCAUACGAUGUAAGGAUGAAAGGGGGGGGCCGCAAAGCCUUGCGCGUUUGGAGCGGGCGAUGGCUGGUUAGGUCGUUGGUGGGAUAAAAGCUUACUAAGACGACGGUCUGGAUCUGGUCUGAGAGGGCGACACGGCACACUGGGACUGAGCGACGGCCCUGGCUCCGAGGGGAGGCCGCAGUGGGGAAGGGUGGACGAUGGGGGAAAUCUUGAUCCAGCAGCGCAGCGUGCAGGAUGAAGGCCCGCGGGUUGGAAACUGCUUUUGUACUGGAAGAAAAGGCUCUGGCGAAAACCUGGGGCACAUGACGGUACCUGAAGAAUAAGCACCGGCUAACUACGUG
rnacentral:rRNA from 1 species